CUCCUUCCCCGUGCAGUCCCACAACAGGGAGGACUGGAGCACAAACUCAGGUCUCCCUCGGCCCUCUUCUCCCUCCCACUGUGGGCCAAACGCGGUGCAGAAGGCCUGAGGAGCCCAAGCACUGAUAUCCAGGUUCACAACAGCCCAUCUUUCAAGUUUAUCAAGGUCCCUCUGGAUGGUAUCUCUUCCUUCCACUGUAUCAACCGCAUUGCUCAGUGUGGUGUCAUCAGCAAACUUGCUGAGGGUGCACUCAAUCCCAUCAUCUAUGUCAUUGAUAAAGAUGUUAAAGAGUACUGGUCCCAAGACAGACCCCUGAGGGACACCGCUUGUUACUGACAUCGCCUGAACACAGAGCCAUUGACCACAGCCUUCUGUCUGCAACCAUACAACCAAGUCCUUAUUGCAAUGAAUAGUCCACGCUUCAAAUCCAUAUUUCUCCAAUUCAGAGAUAAGGAUGUGAUGUGGGACCAUGUCAAAGGCCUUGCAGAAGUCCAGGUGCCAUCUGCUGAGCUAACAGAAACCAGCUGGUUGCUGGGUUCUACAAAGGGAAGCUUACAGCAAACUGAAAGCAUACUCAUUCUGGUGGUGCCCAAAGCACAGACUCCAUCACCACUGCAAAGAACAAGACCUGAGGAUGUUACAGCCAACACACUGAGAAUCACCAAAGUUGGAAAAGACCUCCAAGAUCAUCUAGGCCUUCCUAGCAGCUGGGAGUCCUCCAGAAACCCAGCUAGGAUAUCCAGCCAUGGCUUCAGCUGCCUCAUAGUCAGCCCCUGCAUGCGGCAACUGUGUGGUGAUGAUGUAAAACCACGAGAAUAGCUCAACUUGGUCAGAAGAGUAGAUUUCACCUGUAUUGCACUACUUCAAUCAAAGCAAGAGCCACCCUCAUUCAAAAUGAUGGAGAUGCAAGUGAUGAUGAUGGCAAAGGAAAUUCUACUGUCUGAGAUCCAUCAGAUCUCACAUGUUGGGAAAAGACUGUUACUUUGCUCCAGCUAAGUACUUUUUCCAAAAUAUAUUGAAAACAAAGAGGAGAGAGCUCUUUUUUGGCCAGUGACCCCGCAAGCCAGAAGAGGCAGGUUGGCUCAGUCUGAUGUCAGCAACAAAAUGCCCAGCAUCCCGGUCCCGUGUGUUGUGUGGCUGGACUCAGCUUUCAUGCCCACCUGGAAGUGCAUUUCCUUCCAUGACGUGCUG
ensembl:lncRNA